rnacentral:tRNA from 1 species
GGGAGCGUAGCUCAAUUGGCAGAGCACUGGUCUCCAAAACCAGAGGUUCCGGGUUCGAAGCCUGGCGCUCCUG